GGGAGCCUUUCUUCUCACACCUCAUCUCUAAUACUACUAGUACACACUCAUCUUCUAUAUUUUACUGGUGGUUAAAACAUGAUGACAUAGAAACAUGUUGAGGCAAUCAUCUAGUAGAAAUAUGAGGACUAAAGGGUUAAAGUUAAAGGAUGUUUUACAAGGAUUUGCUUUGUUUUUGAUGUGUUUGUGGUUGAUUUACCAAGCAAGACAGGCUUACAACAAGUCAAAAUUGGGUGAAAAAUCAUUGAAGGGACAAGAUUUGCAAAAAGCUGCCAAGUUAGGGAGGAAAGAUCUGAAUCCUUUGCUGUUAGAUGAGUUAGCUGGUGAGUUUCAGAAGAACCCAGAUGAAGAUCUUGAACUGGAAGAAUUAUUAGAUGAAGCCAAAAAAGAUGGAGAUGAUGGAGUUGGAGACAAUGAACAAUUGGAAGACAUAGUUGAUGAAGAUGCAGCUAGUAGAGAUGCAGUUUGAGAAAAGUUAAAACAAAUUAUUAUAUAAUUAAUUGAUAAAUAAUUAUGAAUUAGAGUGUUGAAUUGCCGUUUGUAAUUUUGGGAAAAGCCAAAAGAUUCUAAACUGAUGAAGAAUUAAAG
rnacentral:misc_RNA from 1 species